GGUACUAUACAUAGUGGUAAUGUGGCGUACUGUUAAUACGUUCAUCGAAAGUUCGAUUCUUUCUAGUACCU
rnacentral:tRNA from 1 species